AAGGUAGCCAUAUUUAGGUGAUAGAUGGCAUGAUUAGCUUAGGACAAUACCAUUUGCCUGGAACCUCAUUACAGCUGGUUACGUUGAACAAACUGUACAUGGGGUAGUUAUCAGCAUAAUUUGUCUUCUAUUCAUUGGCAAGCUGCUUGAACCAGUAUGGGGUCCCAGGGAAUUUCUAAGUUCAUCUUUAUAGUUAGCUUCUUAACUUCUGUGUGCAUUUUCAUCACCGCUAUUGCUUUAUACUACAUUACAAGACAGGAGAUUUAUCUGUAAGUGUUUGAAACCCAUUACCAUAUGAGAUUAUAUUUUCUGUUGCUUGUGCUGUUAUCUAUCGUAUCUUCUUCCCGUUUAAUAGAUUACCCUCUUUCCCAUAUCUUGCACUGCACUUUCAAACUCCAUUUUUCGAUUUGAAGCUUAAUACAGGACCAUUUGAAGUUUGAUUACUUGGUCUCUUUUUGCUUCAACACUAGAAAACAUUGUUGGUCAAGUAUUUAUGAAGCUAAAUUUAAAUAUUGAAAAUUUGCAACAAGCCUUGGAGUAAGUUAUAUAAUAUGCUAUCUUUCAAAGUCAUAUUAGAUGCUAUGCGUGCCAUUUGCACAGUAUUCUUUAUAUUUGCAAUGCUCUAGUUAUACACCAUUUUCUGGAUUUCAUGGAGUUAUAUCUGGCUUCUUGGUUAGCAUCAAACAAAUUAUACUAGAUCAAGAGAUUCCUUUCCUCAAGAUAAAAAUGAAGGUUUGAUGCUCUCACUCUGUUCCUUAACUUGUAGUUCAUUGCUUAAUUUACUUUACAGCAACAAUAGUUUUAAGAGGCCCUAAAUAUGGUGCCACUUCUAUUCUCUGUUUAGUGGCUACCAUCAACCACUUCUAUUCUUGCUGAUCACUACUGUUCUUACAGAACAUGAUUAUAUUUCUAAUAACUCUAUUUCUUUCAUCUUUUUUUGGGGUUGUGUCCUGUCAGAGGUUUUAUGAACAUUGAGGGGAGAUGCAGGUGGCACAAGAUUCCCCCCUAAAGCCAUCAAUGGAUUUAUUUGCUGUCGGAUGUGUAAUUGCUGAACUUUUCCUUGAGGGCCAACCACUAUUUGUAGUGUCUCAAGUUCUUGCGAAUCGCAGAGGACAUGAUCCAAGUCAACAACUUGAAAAAGUACUCUAUUUGUGUGUUUGUGUUUUAUUUCAUCUUCCCUUGGUCCCAUGCCCAUCAGAAGGGGGUUAACCAUACUCAUGACUGCCCAAUAAAGAGUAACCCUUUGAUUGAUUGCAUAUAAGAUAAACCAGCUUGAUAGCUAUAUUUGAUUGUUUAUGCUUCAUGGAAUUGCUAAGCAUUUUUUCUAAUGAAUUGCUAAGCAUUUGUUUCUAGUCAACAUGCUUCACAUAAACACGAACAUAAUUUUUUAUUAGGAGACAGCUCAGAGUUUGAUCUAGUUUUCAUUGGUCCAUGUAAUUCUUCAUGGAAGGCAUCAAAAUUUCAGUGGAUAUAACAUUGAUAACCCAUUUUUUUGUAAAUUUUUCAGUCUUCAGAACAUAAUUGUAUACGCAUAAGUAACACAAUAUGCAUCCAUCAAUUUCAUUGGUGAAAA